rnacentral:rRNA from 1 species
UACGUAGGGUGCAAGCGUUAAUCGGAAUUACUGGGCGUAAAGCGUACGCAGGCGGUGAUGUAAGACAGAUGUGAAAUCCCCGGGCUCAACCUGGGAACUGCAUUUGUGACUGCAUCGCUGGAGUGCGGCAGAGGGGGAUGGAAUUCCGCGUGUAGCAGUGAAAUGCGUAGAUAUGCGGAGGAACACCGAUGGCGAAGGCAAUCCCCUGGGCCUGCACUGACGCUCAUGCACGAAAGCGUGGGGAGCAAACAGG